rnacentral:rRNA from 1 species
AUUGAACGCUGGCGGCAGGCCUAACACAUGCAAGUCGAACGGUAACAGGAAGCUGCUUGCUGCUUUGCUGACGAGUGGCGGACGGGUGGGUUAUGUCUGGGAAACUGCCCGAUGGAGGGGGAUAACUACUGGAAACGGUAGCUACUACCGCAUAACGUCGCAAGACCAAAGAGGGGGAGAUUAGAGCCUCUUGCCAUCGGAUGUGCCCAGAUGGGAUUAGCUAGUAGGUGGGGUAACGGCUCACCUAGGCGACGAUCUCUAGCUGGUCUGAGAGGAUGACCAGUCACACUGGAACGGAGACACGGUCAAGACUCCUACGGGAGGCAGCAGUGGGGAAUAUUGCACAAUGGGCGCAAGCCUGAUGCAGCCAUGCCGCGUGUAUGAAGAAGGCCUUCGGGUUGUAAAGUACUUUCAGCGGGGAGGAAGGGAAUAAAGUUAAUACCUUGGCGCUUUGACGUUACCCGCAGAAGAAGCACCGGCUAACUUCGUG